rnacentral:rRNA from 1 species
GCGAGGCCAGGGGGGCAACUCCCUGAGUCGAGCGGCGGACGGGUGAGUAACACGUGGGUAACCUACCCGGAAGUGGGGAAUACCUCGGGGAAACUCGAGCUAAUACCGCAUGACAUCUUUGGGACGAAAGUCCUGACGAUCAAAGCGGGGUCGCAAGAUCUCGCGCUACCGGAUGGGCCCGCGCCCGAUUAGCUAGUUGGUGAGGUAACGGCUCACCAAGGCGACGAUCGGUAACCGGCCUGAGAGGGCGAUCGGUCACACCGGAACUGAGACACGGUCCGGACUCCUACGGGAGGCAGCAGUGGGGAAUCUUGCGCAAUGGGCGAAAGCCUGUCGCAGCAACGCCGCGUGGAGGAUGAAGGCCCUUGGGUUGUAAACUCCUGUCGGCUGGGAAGAAGUCGUUCGCGGUUAAUACCUGCGGACGUUGACUGUACCAGCAAAGGAAGCCCCGGCUAACUCUGUGCCAGCAGCCGCGGUAAUACAGAGGGGGCUAGCGUUAUUCGGAAUUAUUGGGCGUAAAGGGCGCGUAGGCGGCCAUGCGUGUCUUCCGUGAAAUCCCUCGGCUUAACCGAGGACGUGCGGAAGAAACUGCAAGGCUCGAGUCCGGAAGAGGGGGGCGGAAUUCCCAGUGUAGCGGUGAAAUGCGUAGAUAUUGGGAGGAACACCAGUGGCGAAGGCGGUCCCCUGGGCCGGAACUGACGCUGAGGCGCGAAAGCG